rnacentral:lncRNA from 1 species
UUUAUUUGCCGGUAACUGUCCCCUCUCGAUAGACGUGGUUUCGACGAUGAGUUCGAUGACACCGAUGAAGAAGUAUAAUAUCUUCAGAAGUGCCAGGCAAGCAAAACCCCCUUGUUCAUUCCGAUACAAUCCCACUCUCUCGCUCCUGCUCUCUUUUACUGCAUUAGGACAACAACGAUACAAUUGUUACUUGCUGCGGUAGUUGAACCCCUUUAUCCUCUGCAUGACCUGUCAUUGCCACAGUAAAUAGAUGAAACCCACUAGCAUGAGUAGGAGUUGUUUGAGCCUUGAUGUGCCUACUCAUCCAUGCUUGUUUGUCAUGCCUGCUAUUGCUUAGAGUUGAGUCAGGUCUGAUUCAUCGGGGAUGAGUCAGAGGUGUGUGAAUAUGUCCUACUGUUGAGAGCUAAGUGUGUGAAUACGAUUUGGUAAAGGUAGCGGUGAGAGGCCAUGUAGGAGUACAUGGUGGGUUGUCUCAUUGCAGCCGUCCUCAGGAACUGAGUUCUGUGUUUGUGAUCCAUGAACAGUUACUACCACACAUUGGGUUCCGGUAACUCGACCCCUCUCGGCUUCUUAAUCACCCUUGUUCUCUGUCCAGGAGUUGCAACUAGUUUCUGGUGUUUGUAGGUAGUGCUAUUUUUCUACCAAGUGGCACCCGACAGGGUGGGCUUGGGACAGACUAGGCACACGUGGCCUGGUGUACCAAGUGGCACCCGGAUGGUGGGCUCGGGAACCCUGCACACAUCGUUUGGGGCCGUGAGCGACACCCCGGUCAGAUCUCCUUGCGGAUGGAACCCGAAUAGGCGAUAAACCUGGACGAGAGACUUGAGUGUUUAGGUAGGUCGUGGCCGACUCCCUCGCCUGGCUUCCGCUUGAAGAUUGCCGAGGUACAUGACGUGUACAGGGCGAUAAGUGGCGAGAGCGUGUGUGAAGAAGUACACCCCUGCAGGGUUAUCAUUAUCUAUUCGAAUAGCCGGAUUCCUCGGAUAUGGAAACUUGGACCCCUUGCAUAGUUCAUAGACAAGUGAAAGUGGAUACUCUAAAAUACGCAAGAUAAGAGUGAGUGCUAUGGAUGGCGUUCUCGUAGGGAGACGGGAGCGGAUCCAUAGUGGUGUAUUGAUAUGGUGAAUAUGUGGACUCGUGUGCGCCACCUCAAAAGAGUUACUUGCAGUCGUAGUUUAGGAUAGCCACCGAGUCAAAGCUGGCUUGCUGCAGUUAAACUCCACCACCCCUUUAUUGAUAAUGAAGCAUAUGUAGUUAGUUCUGAUGUAAGUCUUGCUGGGUACAUUUGUACUCACGUUUGCCUAUUUUAUGUUUUUGCAGAGAGACUUCGGUCUCGCUAGUAGUUCCGCGUGGACUUCGAUGUUUAGCUUGAUACCUCAGCUACGAUCUUGUGCCCUCGGCAGGAUCUGGUAGAUAGUCAGGCUUCUGAGCCUUUUUCGUUUGUAGAUGUCUGUACUCAGACAUGUUAGCCUCCGCUUGUGCUUUGAUUUGUAUGCUCUGAAUGCUGGGUCAUGAGACCCCUGUUUGUAAUAUCUCGCUCCUCGGAGCCUAUUGAAUAAAAUACUUGAGUCGUAGAGUCAUGUUGUGAUGCCAUGUUGUAUUUGCACAUAUCGAGCAUAUUGUGUGUAUGUUGUUGAAAUGCUUGGUAUGUGUGGGAUCUAACUAUCUAGUUGUUUAUCCUUAGUAGCCUCUCUUACCGGGAAAUGUCUCCUAGUGUUUCCACCGAGCCAUGGUAGCUUGCUACUGCUCCGGAACACUUAGGCUGGCCGGCAUGUGUCCUUCUUCGUUCCUGUGUCUGUCCCUUCGGGGAAAUGUCACGCGAUGAAUACCAGAGUCCUGCUAGCCCGCUACAGCCCGGUUCACCGGAGUCCUGCUAGCCCAGUGCUAUAGCCUGGAUUCACUCACUGUUGACCGACACGUUCGAUGCUGGGUCAUGGAUGCCUGUCCCUAUAAGUUUGUGCCACUUUGGGUUUACGACUAGCCAUGUCAGCCCGGGCUCCUUAUCAUAUGGAUGCUAGCGACACUAUCAUAUACGUGUGCCAAAAGGCGCAAACGGUCCCGGGCAAAGGUAAGGCGACACCCGUGGGGAUACCGUGCGUGAGGCCGCAAAGUGAUAUGAGGUGUUACAUGCUAGAUCGAUGUGGCAUUGAGUCGGGGUCCUGACAGUUUUGGUAUCAGAGCUUGACUGCCUGUAGGAUUACCAAGCCAAACUGGUCGAAGUUGAGUCUAGAAAUGCUUUAGUUACAUGUAGGGGAAUUGAUUGUGGGAUGGAACGUAAGGCUCUUUUUACUCCUUAUACCUCAUGGCCUUCUGAUCUGAGUCAACCUCUUCUUUUCUACAGGGAUUAAGAACUAGGCCUUCUCAUCUAUCUAUCAGGAUGACGUGUUACUAAUCCAUAGACUUAUAGAAUUGUUAGUUUCAAAUCUCAGUUCAGUUUUACUACUUCCGUAUGUUCAUAACUGUUGAUCUCGAAACCUUGAUAUUGUGCUUCGGAGUGGCUAUGCCACCAUUUUUGUAGCAUAUCUCCAAUCAUUUUGAGCAUUUACAGCCGUUAUGCUGUCCGAGUCAUCCCAGGUUUCUAAACAAUCUGAUGCACUUGCAAAUCUUUUCCCUCUGGUUUUGAUGUUCCUUUGGGCCAGAUUAAUCACACUAAAUGCUGAGUUGAGGUAUUCUAUUGCCUCGACAUAUAUGUUGGAAUUAUUAUUAUGACCCUAGGUGUCUUAGGGGAUCAUCUAGUAAUCUAGCCACGUUUUGUGUUCCCGGUGUGAUGAUUCUGGCCACCAUUCUUGAAAGCAUCCCGUGAUGCCAUUUAGUAGUAGGUAUUCUACUCCUGGGUUUUAAACCCGAGAUUCACCCUACCUACUUCAUGUUGAUAGUGUUUGCUAGUUCCUUUAGGUUAUUAGUAAUCUUUGCAUUAGUCCUCGAGGUCCGUGGUAUUUCCUUCUUCCAAAUACUAUGAACCGCUUAUGGCAGAAGUUCCUCGCUGAGCCGAAGGAUCACCAUCAGAGUACUCUUGAGGAGUUCUCCAUUCAUAAUUGUGAAUCUGCCAGUUCUAACCUUUCCGCAUGGGUUAUCCGGAAGAAAUGUUGAGCUACGCUCGACAUACUAAUCUAUGCAUCCACAACUCAGAAAGUUAUAUGGUCUUUUGAGUUGUUCUCUUUAGUUGUGUCCUGACCCUCGUCUAUCAAUUGAUAGUCAAGAGUAUGCGUGCACUUGUUCGUCGAUGCCAAUUACCCUUGUGGUCCGUCAAGCCAUUCUACUCCGAAUGACUGGGAGAAACAAACUCUAGUACCUUGUCCAUUCCUAGGAUUGGGUCAAAGCAGUUGUACUCCGCAGAUCAAAUUGCUAAUCUAGCUUUUGCUCUGUUCUAUCUUCGAGUAUUACCAUCUUUAUAUCAAGAAUGUUAUCCUAUGAAUUCUUGACGCAGUAAUACUUCUCGCCAUCAUUGUUCAUUCCUCGGGCUCCGUGUUAUUGUAACCGGAAUGCCGACAAGUGAAUAGUGAUGUGUGAAAUCAAUACGCCUAGCAACUAGUUGCUUGGUAGUAAAUGGACAAUAUUUUCAUUCUUAGCGUGUUGGUUAUUGAAUCAUUAUCCUAAGAUUGAUCGUGCUACCUAGUCCUUAUUUCUGGUGUGCUUUUCGCUCAAUGAGUUAGGAUUAUUCAAUCCCUUGCUUAUUUGAUCAUAUCGUCUUGCUCUGGGAAGCAAGAUUGUUCUCGAGCUUAGUAACAUAUCGGUGGUUCGUGAUGUUCCGAGUAUCUUCUCGGAAGUAUUACCAGGUUGUCACCUGACCGCUAUGUUGAGCUCGUGAUCAAGUUGGUUUAUUUCUAUAAACCACCCUUUCUCCAAGAAUCCGUGUUGGAUACCCCUGAGCUAGUUGGCUAAGCUAUACAUUCAACUUGGAGAGUUGGAAGAUAAAAGCUUGUCCAACUCAGUUCAUUCCAAGGGAUAUCUUGUAUGUGUGUUGAAGAAAGAUGGUAUUUUCAUCUAUUGACCCCCGUGAUCAGUUUAUGGACCUAUCAUCUUACCCAAUCUUUGAUUUGAGUAUGGGCUAUCGUCAAAUCAAAUCAGAACCAACGAUGUUCAUAAUGUUGUCUUACUCGUGGUUGAUCCCUCGAGCAUACACCGUUAUAUCUUAUGGUCUGACCAAUACUAUCACAUUGUUCACAUAAUGGUGGAAGUCCAGUGAUAUGGAAAUUUCGAUGAGUUGCUGUUGAGCCCAUCAGCAGUAUUUUGUCUCCUCCAUGAUUUAUGUUGAACAUCAAGCUAGUGUUGGAAACUUUAUAAGCAUUAUCUUCAUGUCCCGUGCAUGAAGUAUAUGUUCGGAUGAAAGAAGUGACCUCCUCUAAUUCAUGUGCAUUUGAUGCAAGUUGCCGCCGUGAAUUCGAGUAAGUCAAUGUUGCCUCCUCUGGAACCAUCUCAAGUCAGUCAUGCAUGUGCGAAGUAUGCUAUGGUUUGACAGGCUCGCAACCUUCAUUCUAUUUGUAUCCCUAGCACACCAAGCCACUGAUUGAUUUGUUCAAGGAGAAGAAGCUCCUUCUUAAGGGUAUACCCUAUGCAAGGACCUCGAUAUCCUCGAUGAUGGUUCCCCAUCGGAGCUCGGUAGUGUUUCAUUGUAAGACUACCAUGGGAUCAUGUUUGUCUGGGACAACGUGUUCACAUGUUUGUAGCAAAACCAGCUCAUGUUUUGGAGUUUGCUAUCGUAGUUCAUUUCCUGAGAAUCACACAACGUCUUCUCGUCGAAUUGUGUUGCAGACUUUCAUUUUUCUCUCUAGACUGGAUGAGUCUGGAAUAUACUGACACCAACCAGAUCUGAAUCUCAGGCUGAUAUGAUGGUUGGAACUAUUCCCAAGAAUUAUAAUAUUGGUCUCACUAUAACCGGUGAAGUGGAUGUCAUGGCCAACACAUCCAACUGGAAGACCUAUUAUUGUAGUAUCUUGUUUGAGAAAGUUGGCCACCCUCCCCAAGGUGCCCCGUUAUGGAAUCAUGGCAGUUUAUCCUCGCUACCUGAAACCCUCGUCAAAUUGCUUCUUUCGUCCCUCCUGAUGCAUGUUUUGCCUCUCAGCUCCAGAGAUGUUCUACAUCUCAUUCCGUGAGUUGAUCUUGUGAUCAUUAAGAUGAUCCAUCCUUGUAGAGUGUCUCUUUCCUCGUGUUGGAUGAAUAUCUCAAAAGCAAAGACGUCAAGAUCAAUUGGAGCCCUGAAUCAGCAUCCUCGAGAAAGACAGUUGGAUCUUGAAGUUCAUGUUAUUAGUUUGUGUCCCCUUGUCUUCUUACCUCACGUCUUGAAUCUCGGGACGAGAUUCUUGUUUAGUGGGGGUGAGCUGCAACAUCCCUAGUUCUGGUAUGCACUGAGCUAGCUAGUCAUGUGUUGCAUCAUGUUUAAAUUUCAUGAAACUUGAAAUGGGGAUCGACUAAACCCUAGCACCAAAUGAAUUCAACUAGGGUCAAACUAAAAUCUUUUUCAUUGGACUCAAAAUGCCCUCUAAAAAUGUUCAACAUUUCUGGUUUGAGGUGAAAGCAUCUACCAAAAAUGGUUUAUAUUUUUGCAGGACAUAUUGGGCUCUGAAUUAAAUUAUAUAGUAUUUGCAUUUGGGCAUUUAAUUGCUAAUAAUAUUUUAACUGCUCAAAUAAUCACAAACUGAAAUGUUUACUGUUGGAAAUAUUCCAAACAGUGACAUGGAGCAGUUUCAUGAUUUUUGGAAAUACCCUGGCAUUUUUAAUAAAGCCCUAAAUUUACAGAAUAAUAGAAAACAGAAACUAAAAUAAAAGCAGAGAGCAGAAACGUACCUGGCACUCACCUCUCAGCCCACCGGCCCAGCUCCUGUUUCGGUCCAGCCCACCACCGCCUGGCUCCCUGUCGCCUUCCUCCUCGCGCCAGUAGGCUGGGGCGCGUGCCCGGCGCGCGUGGCCACACGCCGGCCACCUCCUCCCUGCCUGGCUGCCUCCUCCUUCUCCUGGACGUUCCCCGCAACGCCACGCCACCCCCUGGAACCCUCUCGCUCUCCCUCCUGCUCUCUCCCUCGCCGUUCCCCCUCCUACCAAAUGGGUUCGUCGCCGCCGUUCAUUGCCACCGCGUCCACCGAUCUCCCCUCGCCUCCCCGUGCUGUCCAAGGUCUCCGCCAUCGUCCGCCGCUUCGCCCCACCCUGGCCCCGAGCGCUGGGACGGCCUGCAUCGAGGGCUGCCUCAUCUUCUUCCUCCUCGGUCGCCGGAAGCUGCACGCGCCGAUUCGCCGCCGUCUCCGCCUCCCCGAGCUCGUCGUCUACCUCAUCCGACCCACCGUGAGCCCCCGCACGCUUUGCCCCUAACCCCGUGGCUUGCCGCUCUCCGUAGCCGUCGAUUCGUAGCUGGCCGUAGCACGCCGCCGCUUGAGCUCGUCGUCGGCGUAGCUCCGGUGACCAUUUGGUCACCCGGGCGUGCCUAACUUGCUCCCCGCAUCACGUAGCGCUCCGCUAGCUCUUCACCUCGCUCAUUUGCACACCGUAGCACUAUCCCGCACCAACCCCGAACUCCGGCAGCCGCCGCGAGCUUCGUUCCGGCGAGCUCCGGCGCCCCCGCCGCCACCCUCCUGCUCCUUUGGAUGCGGGAGAGCACGGGCUACGCCCCGGUGGUCUCCGCGAGUCCAGCCGCCGCCUGUAGCUCAAGUCCGGCGAGCCUCCGUCGUUGUUUAGGUCGCCGGCGGGUUAACUCCGGCCGUGCCGACGUGGCACCGUAAUUAGUGGCUAAUGAUGCCACUAACUAACCCCCCUCUCACUGACUACUGGGCCCCACGCCCCUAACUAACACUAGUUUAAUUUCUGUUUAAUUUUAUCUAAUCACAGUGGACCCACACGUCAGUGUUGACUACGCUGACGUGGCCGUCGACCGGUCCCACCUGUCAUACACCCAAACCAACCUGUUACACUGACCCGUGGGUCCCAGCCGUCAGGUUUGACCUGGGCUGGCGCCUUUGACCUGAUGACGUCACCCCGACGUCAUGCUGACGUAGUUAAUCUUUUCCUGUAUUUAUUUUUAUAUAGGAAAUUCCAGAAAAUAACCAAAACUUCUAAAAUUCAUAUAAAUUCAACCGUAACUCCAAAUGAAAUAAAUUAUAUAUGAAAAAUGAUCAGAAAAAUCCAAUCUAUCCAUCUGUACCAUUUUCAUGCAUGUUAGAACAACUUACAGCUGCUGUUUAGCACAAAUCAUAUUAAUGGCAUUUAAACCUUCACAUAUGGAGUUUGAAUUUGAACCUAGGGUUCAAACCAACUUCAUUUAACUUGCUGCUAGUUGCAUUAGCUCAAACAACAGCAUAUUGCCAUGACAUUAUCAUGCAUCAUAUUUGUUGCAUUGCAUUGAUUGUGUCCCUCUUUAUUUGCCGGUAACUGUCCCCUCUCGAUAGACGUGGUUUCGACGAUGAGUUCGAUGACACCGAUGAAGAAGUAUAAUAUCUUCAGAAGUGCCAGGCAAGCAAAACCCCCUUGUUCAUUCCGAUACAAUCCCACUCUCUCGCUCCUGCUCUCUUUUACUGCAUUAGGACAACAACGAUACAAUUGUUACUUGCUGCGGUAGUUGAACCCCUUUAUCCUCUGCAUGACCUGUCAUUGCCACAGUAAAUAGAUGAAACCCACUAGCAUGAGUAGGAGUUGUUUGAGCCUUGAUGUGCCUACUCAUCCAUGCUUGUUUGUCA